AGAGUUUGAUCAUGGCUCAGAUUGAACGCUGGCGGCAUGCUUUACACAUGCAAGUCGAACGGGCUGUUGGGGCAACCUGGCAGUCAGUGGCGGACGGGUGAGUAAUGCAUCGGAACGUGUCCCAUAGUGGGGGAUAACCCGGCGAAAGCCGGACUAAUACCGCAUAAGCUCUAUGGAGGAAAGCGGGGGACCUGAAAGGGCCUCGUGCUUUGGGAGCGGCCGAUGUCCGAUUAGCUUGUUGGUGGGGUAAUGGCCUACCAAGGCGACGAUCGGUAGCUGGUCUGAGAGGAUGAUCAGCCACACUGGGACUGAGACACGGCCCAGACUCCUACGGGAGGCAGCAGUGGGGAAUAUUGGACAAUGGGCGAAAGCCUGAUCCAGCGACGCCGCGUGGGUGAAGAAGGCCUGCGGGUUGUAAAGCCCUUUCGGUAGGGACGAAAGCUCUCGACUUAAUACGUCGGGAGGUUGACUUAACCUACAUAAGAAGCACCGGCUAACUC
rnacentral:rRNA from 1 species